AAGAUCCAGUGAAGGAGGAGCCAACCAAAGAGGAGGCCGCCCCUAAACCAGCCCCUUUCAUUAGGCCCCGCCACAAUAAACACGAAGUCCUUCAGGCCCCGCCUUGGACUGGCCAGGGCACAUAGGGCAGCCAAUGAGAUUCGAGAUGCCAAGAAAUAUUAUAAUGAGGUCAACGCCAUGUCCCCAGAGUUGAUGUGUACUGCAAGUUUUUCGUCUCGGAAAAACCCUCGUUCGAUGAUGCCUACAUUUUCGGUGACUUUGUAAUAUGACGACCCAAGACUUGGACCAAACAUGAUCACCUAUGGCAAAAUUCUUGGACUUGGUAAAUACAGAUUUUAAAUAUUAUUGUCAACGAUAUUCAUACAUUGUGUUUGAAUUGUUACCUGAAUACAUACUUAGCUUUGUCAUGAACAUGAUUAACGAGCUGAAUGGUACUAUAAUAAAAAUGAGCCGCGCUCUAUGAAAAGCGGGUUUAAUGCAUUUGUGUAAAGUGUCGUCCCAGAUUAGCCAGUGCAGUGAACAUAGGCUAAUCAGGGACGUAACUUUACGCCUAGAUUGGAUUUUUGUUAAGAAGAGACUUUCUUUUAACAGAAAAUAUCAUAAAAUCGGAAAGUGUUGUCCCUGAUUAGCCUGUGCAGACUGCACAGGCUAAUCCGGGACAACACUUUACGCACAUGCAUGAAGCCCCUUUUUCCAUAGAGCAUGGCCCAAAGUUAUUGUGGGAUACUUUAUCAACUGUUUUCCUCAAUACUUAUAUGCAAAAGUACUUGUCAUCAUAAGGUACUUUAAUAAAUUCAUGCACAUAGGUCUCUGUAUGUAUUAUGUGGAGGAGCUUAAUUUGCCAAAAAAAAAACAACAUUUUGUACAUGUAUAAGUUAAAUGUACCGAUUUCUGAACCAUUGUGACGACCACAUGAACCAUCAAAAGAAGCAAUUAACCACUGUUGUUUGAAGAGUCUAAUGUUACUAGUUGCACAUUAAGCACAAAGGGUCAUUGGACUUUUUCUGAAAUUAUAUAACGUAUAUGAGCAACCAGAAAAUGGACAACGUAGUACUUCAAUGUCUGAACACUUCUGUAAAUAACAUUAGUAGACUACACUUGGAUAUUUAUGUAAAGGAUAUCCAGUUAAGAUGACAUUGUCGAGUCAUUUUCAAAAGACAUUAAAGAAUAAAAUAAUUAUGUGUUUCAUACAGUGCUAUGAAAGAGUUGGAAUUAAGUCGUAAUAUAUAGGCCGGGUUCUGGGGAGAUCUGGGCUUUAUGCAUGUACACAAAGUGUUGUUUAAGAGUAGCCUGUGCAAUAAACACAGGCUAAUCAGGGACAAACUUUGCGCCUAAACUUGAGUUUCAUUUAGAAGAGACUUUAUUUUAACAAAAAAUCACUUAAAGUCAUAAAGUGUCUUCCGUGAUAAGCCUGUGAAAACUACACAGGCUAAUCUUGGACGGUAGUUUAAGCUGUUCCAUAGUGGAAUAUUGUUCGGAUACAAGUCUUUUAUUUAAUUUUAGACAAAAGUCUCAAGGUAGUUUAUAUUGGUUUUAAUAGUCAAACUAAAAUAAUAUUUUCAAUAUCUUAAAUUAAUACAAUGGUAUAAAUUAUGUUCUAGCCAAAUCCUCCCUUAAAUCUGAAUUGUGCGCGAUUUAGCCGAAAAGUGACAGACAUGAACGGAAAUGUGACACAUACUGCGUCGCAAUUUAACACAUCCAACUUGAAUGACUAUUUUAUUUGCUUCCACAACCAAUAUGUCUGCCUGUGGUCUAAUCAAGAGAAAAUGCAAAUACAUUAAAGCGAGAUUAUACGAUUUUUUAUAUGUGUUAAAUUCUAAUAUAUUGAUAAAAUAUGUUACAAUAACACAAAAUAGGCAAGAAAAUUUAAACAUUGAAGACGAAUUUCAUAAAAUGCAGCAAAGACAAAUUAGCGCCCCGAGCCGAUUGUGACGACUAUAUUUCGUAUAAAAUUUUCCUACAAUUACCGAAGCAUUCGUCUUUUUAUUAGGAUCAGAGUAAGUGUUCGUGUGUCGUAUGAAUAUAUAUCGUUGCAGAAAUUAAAAAUGGACCGUUAAACUAAAUUUAGAUUCACAUCGUAAAUGCAUUAUAUAUAUGCUGGCAAAUUCGACUGUACAUACAUUUUCGAUUUCAGAAUUAAAUAUCUGGCUUGUUUCGCAUUUUUCGACACAUGUUCUUCUUAUCUUUUAUUUUAAUUUAUAUUGAAAUAUAUGUAUAAUAAGUUUUUCACAAAUUUUAUAUAAAUUCAUACAUUUUUGACAAAAUCGUAUACCGGUAAUCUCGCUUUAAUUUAUGGUGACUCUAAUUGAAUGUUCAACCUCCAAGGGAAGGUAAUACUAAUGUAAAAUAUAAAAAUCGCCGUUCAUGAGAUAUUCAUGUACUCUAACCUAACAUUUUCAUGAACUUUAAGUUAACUAAUUCUUAUAAGAAAUUAAGAAAAUAUGUAUCUUAUAUUAUACCACAGAACAUUUAAUAACAAUAAUUCUAUGUAAUACUCUCUAUUCUAUGUCUUAAUUUUGUAUAUUUUGUGUGAGAAUAAUUUCUAUAUUAGAUUAAUGAUGACGAUUCUGUUCUAUGAUGGUAUUUCUUAUAUGAUUUCAUAUUCAUUCCAUGACAGUAAUUUUCAUGUUAUUUAAUAACAAUAAUCCUGUUUUACGAUAGUAAUUUAGUAGUUAAAAUUGUAUCCAUGAAUAUUUUAUUAAUGAUAAUUGUGUCCUAUAAGAUUCAUAACAACUAUAUAAUUCUUACUAACAUUUGUAUUAUGUGACAACGCACAUAUAUUAGUCGUGUUCUGAGAAAACUGUGCAUAAUGCAUUUGCAUAAAGUGUCGUCCCAAAUUAGCCUGUGCAGUCCGUAAAGUGUCGUCCCAAAUUAGCCUGUGCAGUCCGUAAAGUGUCGUCCCAAAUUAGCCUAUGCAGUCCGUAAAGUGUCGUCCCAAAUUAGCCUGUGCAGUCCGUAAAGUGUCGUCCCAAAUUAGCCUAUGCAGUCCGUAAAGUGUCGUCCCAAAUUAGCCUGUGCAGUCCGCAAAGGCUAAUCAAUGCCGACUCUUUCCGCUUUUAUGACAUUUUUCGUUUACAUGAAGUCUCUUCUCAGCAAUAAUCCAAUUCAUUCUUAAAGUGACGUCCCUGAUUAGCCUGUGCAGACUGUACAGGCUAAUCUGGGACGACAUUUUACGCACAUGCAUUAAGCCCUGUUUUCCCAGAGCGCUGCUCAUAUAAUUCUACCUGCAUGCAGGUGCACUUGAGAAGUAUAUUAAGAUCCUUGAAGAGAAGUUCAAGAACAAGACCUUGCAGCAGGUGUACGCCGGGGUGAACGGACGCAAUGUGGAUGACCCUGAGAUGCAACAGUUCUUCAAGUUCAAAUGCUGGAUAUAGACCUUAAUGUUCAGAAAUAGCAACAUUUUGCAUGUCCGGAUGGGGUUUUGUCAUCCUUUUGGAGAUUCAGGUUUUGAAAAUUGGGAAUGUGAAUUGGGUCUUAUGUUUAUUUUAAAGCUUGCAUUAUUCUUAAGAGAGCUAUGAUCAUGCUUAGCAUUUUUAAAUAUUGAUGUACAUUUUAUGUAUGUUUGAACUUGUAUAUAUAGACUCCUUUAUUCAAAUUUGAUCUAACAUGAAAAGAAUGUGUAACAAAAAUAUAUUAUACCACAUAACAUAUCACUUUUAUUAUUAUCAUGUGUGUCACAUUUAAAUCUAUUUGGUAUUUUAUUCACAAUGUUAAAUGUCACUAAAAUACCACCAGAUACGGGGCAUUUUUUCUUUUGAAACUGAAAUCAUUAUUUUCACAAGCCGAUGAUUAUAUCAAACCUGUCUCAAACGAAAUUAGUAUGGUGUUUUUUGUAACUGCACUUUCAUGCGACAUUUUAAAUGUGUAUAUAUUCUAAGUGCAACCUUUAAAACUGCACUUUAAAUCUUCUUUAUGAUAUUUUUAUGUCCCCCACCACUAUAGUGGGGGAUAUAUUGUUUUUUUUCCCUGUCUGUUGGUUUGUUUGUUUGUUUGUGUGUGUGUUUGCGUCUUACUUUAACAGUUGCCAUAACUUGUGCAAUAUUGAAGAUAGCAUGCAUGUGUAUCUCAUGGAGCUCCACAUUUUGAGUGGGAAAAUGUCAAGGUCAUCCUUCAAGGUCAAAGGUCAAAUAUAUGGGUCAAAAUCGCUUAUUUAAUGUACACUUUUGCAACAUUGAAGAUAGCAACUUGAUAUUUGGCAUGCAUGUGUAUCUCAUGGAGCUGCACAUUUUGAGUGGUGGAAGGUCAAGGUCAUCCUUCACGGUCAAAGGUCAAAUAUAUGGGGACAUAGUGUUUCACAAACACAUCUUGUUUAAUUUAAGUUACAACCACAUAAUUUAUGCCAUCAUUAGAUGUGUCGGAAUGUUCAACAUCAACACCAAACAUUGAAAUCUAAGGAAAUGCCAAUAGUUUCUUUUUGCAUUCACAUAUGUACAAGUCCUAAGUCAAGCAUGUUAUAUGCAUAACAUACACUGGCAUCUAUCAUUUGAACGUGCAUAUAAUCACCUGUCGCUGUCAAAGGCAUUUAUGGACUUUAACCUUUGUGACGUUUAGAGGCUUAGUUCUAUCUAGUCCUUCAGCAAAGAACCCAAAAUUGACCAGUAAGGGGGGCGAAACUACACAUAUAUUGCUUGGAAGAUGCAUGCCAGUAGCAUGUGAAAAUGGUUGAUAACAGUCUGGUACUGGCAGCUUUUGGUAUUUUUUUCUCCUUUGGAUAUGGGGCCUCAUUCAGCUUAAUUUUCAUAAAUUGUCUGGGAGAAAUUGAACCGAAGUAGGGUCAAUAUACACUUUGACCACCAAACAAUUGCUACAACACUUAUUUUAACUGAUCCUGGUAGGGCAGAAGGUCCUUAAAAUCAUAUCAAAGGUUUACCACAAUCGGAUCUCCGGAAAGUUGUUUUUUUCAAUAUGGCCGCCAAGAUAGCCGCCAUGACCUAUUAGUAUUAAUGAUCAUAACUAUGUAACUAUCCAAUCAAAUUUGAUGAAUUGGUGUCUAUACCUAGGUUUCAAGGGGCAAAGAACACAUAAUGGUCAUCAGAAAUUGUUUAAGUUUAAUUUAGUACACACCAAUUCAACAUGGCGUCGAAAAUGGCCGCCAAGAUGGCCGCCAAAACCUAUUUAAGAUCAUAACUAUGUGACUAUCAACUUAAAUCUGAUGAAUUUGAUGUCUAUACCCAGGUUUCAGGGGGCAAAGAACACAUUUAUAUCAUCAGACAAAGUGCAGGUUAAUUAUGUAACACCGCAACUCUAACAUGGCGUCCUAAAUAGCCAUCAUGUGUUUGUUCCUCAAUGACAAUCGUCCAAUAAAUAAUAGAACUUA